GAUGCCAAAAGCGUCAUUAUUUACAAGAUAGAGAAACGUGUCACCCAUCUAUCAAUUACUCAACCCGCUAAACUUAAAUUUAAACCAAAAUGAAAAUUUUAAUAUCCCGGGAUUAUCUCCCCAUGACCCCAUAGCACCAGCUCCCACGGUUUUCGUUGUUCCUCAAUAACCACCUGUAUUGAUCGCCGCUCAGAAAUUCGCCUCAAAAUUUUGAAUCUUCACAAAAAAAAUCCCCAAUUCUUUGCUUUCAGUUAGCGUAAAAUCAUCUCAACCCACUUAUCUGAUCUCUAACCUCUUUAAUUUUUUUUUUCUAUAUAUAUGAUGCGUACAAUGUGACUUUCAGAUAUGUGAAUUUCAUACUACUGUUCACAAAUUGCCAAAAAAUUGUCUCUUAAUUGUGCUUUUGGGGAAUUUAAUUUGGUGUUCUCACUUUGGAUUCAUCGGUUCUCUAGUUUCUUGGAGAAAAUUAUCGAGAUUCAAGCCCAAUAAUCAUAUUGUUCAGCAUUGGAUCACAAAAGUUGCUUGGCAGAGGAAACUUCCUGAAAAUUUGUUAGAGAUGCAUCAGCUUGCAUAUUAACUUACGGAUCUUUUGGUCUUGGGAGAAAUUAUUUGUAGAAGUCGAAUUUUAUAGAUGGUGUAGAAUCUUCUUCUCUUGGUUGUGUCUUUGUCAAAGGGCAUAAUAGAGGUGUAAGCAACAUUUGAAGAACUUCCUGUCAAAAAGAGAGAAAACGAAGAGGUUUAAUUAGGUGUCUCGGAAUGAGUUACAGAAGUAAAAGAACUGCUUUAACUCCUGGCGAGGCACAAUUUUCUCAGAAUAAGCAACCCACUUCGACAUAUGUACAAUCUGAGUCCAGCCUUACUACAGUGUCACAAUCACGCUUAUCCGAGUCUUCUAACCCAUCCACCCAAUGGGGACCAUUUAGCCCUCCGACAGUUGGAAGAUCACAGACGUUUGGGCACAUAUCGCAACUAAUCAAAUCUUCUAUAGAUGCAUCAAAACCCACAUCUACAUCUUCUUCAUUUAUAGCUACAUCAAAAGCAGGCAUGCCAACUAUAAUGCCAUCAAAGUCCCAACAUAAGAUAUCAUCAAGACCUCCUAUAAUUCCAUCACAACCUAGAUCGUAUCCUAUGUUACAAUCUGUAACACCACAAACACAAUUCCCUCAUAAAGAAACACAACAGCCUCAAAAAGGAACAACUCAACCUACUAAAGCAUCAAAGCAGCAUCAAAAACCUAUAGAACAUCCGACUAAUCCACCUUUUACUGGAGCUAAAACUGGUGCACAGCCCUCACAAGAAACAACACAAGUCCCUCACAAAGAAACAGCUCAGCUGACUAAAGCAUCAAAGCAGCCUCAAAAAGCUACAGAACAUCCGAGUAAACAACCUUUUACUGGAGCUAAAACUGGUGCACUGCCUGUGGGAGCUACACAGCAACCUAUUGUCUCUCCUUUGACUGGAGCUAAGUCCCAAUUAGAAAGAAGAGUUGUUUCACCCUGGAAGCUAUGCAACAAACUCAAAAGAAGCAUCCUAUGACGUCUUCCUUUUUUGGAGGCCAACCCUCGACACGACCUCAAAUGAACAGCUGGUUCAGUGGGACUCCAUAAGGACAGGUCUCAUGCAUAUAUUCAUGCUGAAAGCAACAUAAGGUCAAAUUAUGACUCUGACGAACCUGAAUCUCAGUUAGAGAGUGAAGAAGAGUUAACUGAGUCAGGUGGAAUGGACAGUGGUGUGAAAAGAACAAAACUUAGACGCCGAAGUAUAGUGAAAAAUUGGCCAGAGCAUGUCAAGUUUGAUGAGGAAGAAGAGGUUGUGGCAUUUGAUGUCGAUGGAAAACGACACCUUGUGAAGGGUUCUGUUCAGCCUCGAGAUGUGUGGAAUGAUGCACCAGGAUUUAGGUACUUCGUCCAAUUUAAUGAAUUCAACCAACCUCUUCACAAAGGUGGCUCCAUCCUUGUGAGUUUCUUAGGAGACAUUGCUAAACGAGAAGAAUUUUGUCCCGUGGGGAUUUUAAAUUGGCAUAAGUUGAGCUCGAAUAUGAGAGGCAAUAUUGUUAACCUUGUUCGGGAAAGGAAAUGAAGAAUGCUAUUUUAAAGCGUAUUGGCAAAGCAUGGAAGAAUCAUAGAUAUGCAUUGAAGAAGGAUUAUUUCAACCCUGUGGAAAAAACGCGUGAACAAAACUUUGCUAGUAUACCUGAUGGAAUCACAACUCAGAAUUGGAGUUUUCUGUUUGAUUAUUGGCUUCCAUCAGACGCUAAGAAAUUGUCUGAACUCGGAAAAGCUGCGUGCGUCACAAGUUCUUGUGCGCAGGAGCGGUGCUAAAAGCUAUGCAAAUCGCAGAGCUAUUCUAGUAUGAUUAUCAUUCAUUUUAUCUAGUCCUAAAAACUGCAUAUAGUGUUUAUGUUGUCUGCCUAUCUUACAAACUUUGGAACUUAGCAAUUUGCUGCAAAUGCCUUCUAUAUACUUAGUUUUGGUUUAUGUUGCCAUGUAUAUAUGAAGCAUGGCUGGUCUUUUGUGCAGGUUUGUACAAGGUUAAAAUUUUUGAUUUAUGCCAUUUUUAGGGGAAGUGCUGCCAAAUUUUCUGUAGAUUUUUCAUGAACUAUAUUUAAAGAAAAGAUAAAAAAUAAAAAACAAAAGACUUAUAAUAGCUAAGGUAAAAUAUGAAUACAAUUGCAAUUUAAAUACAAUUGUAAUUUAGUGACAUCAGGAGGACAAUCAAGAGUUUAAAGUUACGUCCUAUAUAUUGUCACUCUGGUUUACAAUAAAUCAAAUUGUCUUCCUGGUAAAAGGUUAGAGAGAUGAUUUAUGGUAGACAUAAGUUGUCACUUUAUAAUCAUAUAUGUCAUAUUAACUUAACUAGCAUUGAAAGAAUAAUCUAAAAAGUGGGCAGAAAGGUAGAGGGUAUCAUUGAAAUAACAAAAAGAAUAUAACCACACUACACUAUGCAACUGUGCAUUGAUAUAUAAAAGAUAAAAGCAAAUUUUAAUAGUAUUCUAAGUGGCUUAACAACAUUUAUAUUACCAAGUUGUUAGAUAACUGUUUGUACUGUUUGUUUCUCACAUUGCAGAAAAAAUAAAAAGGAGAUUUCAGUGAAUUGGAUUUUUUAAAAAGUGUUUAUAGCGAAGGAGAUGGAAGCUUCAAAGAGGGCACAACAUCUCGUCAGUUUGUGGAGGAUGCAAUCAAGAAUGUGCAAGAAAGCCUUGAUAACUCCUCUUCUUCCAUUCCCAAGAUUGAUAUUGAAAUUGAAGUUUUCAAUCAACUUAUGUAUCAAGGCGAGAUCCCUAAACGUCCUCUAAAUUAUGGCUUUGGUGUGAAGCAAAGCUACAUCUUUGGAGUGGAAGGGCAUUUAAGGAAAGAAGGGUCUAACUAUGUCAACAAUAGUGAUAUGGAAGUGGAGAAGUUGAAGGUGGCUAUCAGAUAUGAAGAAGCAAAAUGAAGACCUUGCAGAACAAAAUCAAAUAUUGGGAACAAAAUUUGAUGCAAUUGGCUCUAUGAUGGCACAGGUUUUAAAGGAAACACGUAAUGGAAAUGUUUCAUUAGAAGUUAUAGAUAAUGCAAUACAACUUCUUGAUUCUCAGCUUUGGUGGUGUUUUGAGCAAAGGAGCAGAUUCGAACAAGUUAUGAUUGCUAUUUGGAACGGGCAUAUCUCCUUCAAUUUCUGUCCGAAUUGAGUAAUUCUUUUAUUUUAUUUUAUUUUAUUUUAUAUAUUUUGGUUGUUUUUUUGUGUAGAAUACACACAAAAAUUAUAAGAUUUAUUUUGAAAUUGUAUGCCAAUAAACUGGCUAGUUCUACAAAGAAGUGCAGAAAUAGAGCAAAUCUAGAAAGACUGAUUUAAAUUGAAGAUUUCUCACUCAUCUGAAAAGCUUUUGAUGAGUUUAUUGUUUUUCAAAUUGGUUGUUUUAAUCUGAAAUUUUUGAAUUUGUAAGCCUUUGAGAGUUUUGAGUUAGAAUUAGUUUCUCACUUUGUUGUUGACAUGGAUUGAGCGUUGUAAGGGAGUUGAAUAUAGGUGAGGUGCGUAAGGGGUCAUUGAGGAGCAUCGAUGGUCAAUAAGGUUAGAAAAUUAUAAAAUUAGAGAGCACCAUGUAGAAUUACCCAUAAAAAUAAACAUUUAAAUUAAUGUCUUUUGGUCAAAUUAUUGCAUUGGAUAUAAUAAUGUAUGUGUGAAUACUAGUACUUCUUAAUAUUUUAUGUUUAUACUUGUUAAAUUAGUGAUUGAAUACAAA